GGGGUGAAAGGCCAAUCAAACCGGGAGAUAGCUGGUUCUCCCCGAAAGCUAUUUAGGUAGCGCCUCGUGAAUUCAUCUCCGGGGGUAGAGCACUGUUUCGGCAAGGGGGUCAUCCCGACUUACCAACCCGAUGCAAACUGCGAAUACCGGAGAAUGUUAUCACGGGAGACACACGGCGGGUGCUAACGUCCGUCGUGAAGAGGGAAACAACCCAGACCGCCAGCUAAGGUCCCAAAGUCAUGGUUAAGUGGGAAACGAUGUGGGAAGGCCCAGACAGCCAGGAUGUUGGCUUAGAAGCAGCCAUCAUUUAAAGAAAGCGUAAUAGCUCACUGGUCGAGUCGGCCUGCGCGGAAGAUGUAACGGGGCUAAACCAUG
rnacentral:rRNA from 1 species